UGGGGAAUAUUGCACAAUGGGCGCAAGCCUGAUGCAGCCAUGCCGCGUGUAUGAAGAAGGCCUUCGGGUUGUAAAGUACUUUCAGCGGGGAGGAAGGCGAUAAGGUUAAUAACCUUGUCGAUUGACGUUACCCGCAGAAGAAGCACCGGCUAACUCCGUGCCAGCAGCGGCGGUAAUACGGAGGGUGCAAGCGUUAAUCGGAAUUACUGGGCGUAAAGCGCACGCAGGCGGUCUGUCAAGUCGGAUGUGAAAUCCCCGGGCUCAACCUGGGAACUGCAUUCGAAACUGGCAGGCUAGAGUCUUGUAGAGGGGGGUAGAAUUCCAGGUGUAGCGGUGAAAUGCGUAGAGAUCUGGAGGAAUACCGGUGGCGAAGGCGGCCCCCUGGACAAAGACUGACGCUCAGGUGCGAAAGCGUGGGGAGCAAACA
rnacentral:rRNA from 1 species